AUUGAACGCUGGCGGAAUGCUUUACACAUGCAAGUCGAACGGCAGCACUGACUUCGGUCUGGUGGCGAGUGGCGAACGGGUGAGUAAUGUACCGGAACGUGCCCAGUCGUGGGGGAUAACGUAGUGAAAAUUACGCUAAUACCGCAUACGAUCUAUGGAUGAAAGCGGGGGAUCGCAAGACCUCGCGCGAUUGGAGCGGCCGAUAUCAGAUUAGGUAGUUGGUGGGGUAAAGGCCCACCAAGCCAACGAUCUGUAGCUGGUCUGAGAGGACGACCAGCCACACUGGAACUGAGACACGGUCCAGACUCCUACGGGAGGCAGGAGUGGGGAAUUUUGGACAAUGGGCGAAAGCCUGAUCCAGCCAUUCCGCGUGCAGGAUGAAGGCCCUCGGGUUGUAAACUGCUUUUGUACAGAACGAAAAGGUUUCUACUAAUACUAGGAGCUCAUGACGGUACUGUAAGAAUAAGCACCGGCUACUACGUGCCAGCCGCCGCAGUAA
rnacentral:rRNA from 1 species